AUUGAACGCUGGCGGCAGGCCUAACACAUGCAAGUCGAGCGCGAAAGUUCUUCGGAAUGAGUAAAGCGGCGGACGGGUGAGUAAUACAUGGGAAUCUGCCUGGUAGUGGGGGACAACGUUUCGAAAGGAACGCUAAUACCGCAUACGCCCUACGGGGAAAGGGGGGUAGUCUUCGGACCUCUCGCUAUCAGAUGAGCCCA
rnacentral:rRNA from 1 species